CUAAAGGCAUUGAUGUGGAAGAGUAAUUAUAUUGUUGAAAUAAAGAGAGGGAAUGUUGGUGGAAAUUUCCCAUGAUUGAUGUAAUGAAGGUAGCCGCGGAGCUUUGGACUGAAAGCUUUGUCCGAUGACUAUCCGCUCUAUAAUACUCCCAUCUUUUUUCGAAGUGGGAGUAAAGAGCGGAUACGUCCCUGGAUAACGAUUUCUAAGCAUCAGAUGGAAUAAAAACUCCACCUGAUGCUAAGAACUCUGUUUAUGUGAGUAGGCUUUAACGGAUUCCCACUGUUAAAAGGGAAAUAGUAUCGGCAUAUAUGCCUGCACUAUAUUGAGAGUGUACAUUUGUACAAAAUUAGGUGGUACCACGGAAUUUUACCCUUCGCCCUAUAU
rnacentral:ncRNA from 1 species